rnacentral:pre_miRNA from 1 species
AUUGGGAUUGCUGGGUCAUAUGGUAGUUCUCUGUUCAACUUUUUGAGGAACUGUCAAACUGUUUUCCACAGUAGCUGCACCAUUGUACAUUCCCACCAGCAAU